rnacentral:tRNA from 3 species
GGCGGUAUCGUCUAGGGGACUAGGAUGUAUGGUUCUCAGCCAUAAGACCGGGGUUCGAAUCCCCGUACCGCUA